UGGCUUCACUACGGGCGCUGAUCCUGGCAAAUAACUGAGAUACUCCUAUAUGUUCACAUAGGGAGAGAUGUCUCAGUGGUUUUCCCAGGUGAAGCUGAGAUUGUACCGUGAUUACUCGAUCAAGUUAAUGCUUGCGUGGGAAAGUGCUGCCGCCUCAAG
rnacentral:ncRNA from 1 species